GAACUGCGAUAAGUAAUGUGAAUUGCAGAAUUCAGUGAAUCAUCGAGUCUUUGAACGCACAUUGCGCCCCCUGGCAUUCCGGGGGGCAUGCCUGUCCGAGCGUCAUUGCUGCCCUUCAAGCCCGGCUUGUGUGUUGGGUCGUCGUCCCCUCCGGGGGACGGGCCCGAAAGGCAGCGGCGGCACCGCGUCCGGUCCUCGAGCGUAUGGGGCUUUGUCACCCGCUCGAUAAGGACCGGCCGGGCGCCAGCCGGCGUCUCCAACCUUUUUUUCUCAGGUUGACCUCGGAUCAGGUAGGGAUACCCGCUGAACUUAAGCA
rnacentral:misc_RNA from 1 species